rnacentral:rRNA from 1 species
AGAGAGUGCGAGCGUUAAUCGGAAUUACUGGGCGUAAAGAGCACGUAGGUGGAUAUUUAAGUCGGAUGUGAAAGCCCUGGGCUCAACCUAGGAAUUGCACUCGAUACUGAGUAUCUAGAGUAUGGUAGAGGGAAGUGGAAUUUCCGGUGUAGCGGUGAAAUGCGUAGAUAUCGGAAGGAACACCAGUGGCGAAGGCGGCUUCCUGGACCAAUACUGACACUGAGGUGCGAAAGCGUGGGGGAGCAAACAGGAUUAGAGACCCUGGUAGUCCACGCUGUCAACGAUGAGAACUAGCUGUUGGGAGGUUUACCUUUUAGUAGCGAAGCUAACGCGUUAAGUUCUCCGCCUGGGGAUACGGCCGCAAGGUU